AUUGAACGCUGGCGGCAGGCCUAACACAUGCAAGUCGAGCGGUAGCACAGAGAGCUUGCUCUCGGGUGACGAGCGGCGGACGGGUGAGUAAUGUCUGGGAAACUGCCUGAUGGAGGGGGAUAACUACUGGAAACGGUAGCUAAUACCGCAUAACGUCGCAAGACCAAAGUGGGGGACCUUCGGGCCUCAUGCCAUCAGAUGUGCCCAGAUGGGAUUAGCUAGUAGGUGGGGUAACGGCUCACCUAGGCGACGAUCCCUAGCUGGUCUGAGAGGAUGACCAGCCACACUGGAACUGAGACACGGUCCAGACUCCUACGGGAGGCAGCAGUGGGGAAUAUUGCACAAUGGGCGCAAGCCUGAUGCAGCCAUGCCGCGUGUGUGAAGAAGGCCUUCGGGUUGUAAAGCACUUUCAGCGGGGAGGAAGGCGUUAAGGUUAAUAACCUCAUCGAUUGACGUUACCCGCAGAAGAAGCACCGGCUAACUCCGUGCCAGCAGCCGCGGUAAUACGGAGGGUGCAAGCGUUAAUCGGAAUUACUGGGCGUAAAGCGCACGCAGGCGGUCUGUCAAGUCGGAUGUGAAAUCCCCGGGCUCAACCUGGGAACUGCAUUCGAAACUGGCAGGCUAGAGUCUUGUAGAGGGGGGUGGAAUUCCAGGUGUAGCGGUGAAAUGCGUAGAGAUCUGGAGGAAUACCGGUGGCGAAGGCGGCCCCCUGGACAAAGACUGACGCUCAGGUGCGAAAGCGUGGGGAGCAAACAGGAUUAGAUACCCUGGUAGUCCACGCCGUAAACGAUGUCGAUUUGGAGGUUGUGCCCUUGAGGCGUGGCUUCCGGAGCUAACGCGUUAAAUCGACCGCCUGGGGAGUACGGCCGCAAGGUUAAAACUCAAAUGAAUUGACGGGGGCCCGCACAAGCGGUGGAGCAUGUGGUUUAAUUCGAUGCAACGCGAAGAACCUUACCUGGUCUUGACAUCCACAGAACUUUCCAGAGAUGGAUUGGUGCCUUCGGGAACUGUGAGACAGGUGCUGCAUGGCUGUCGUCAGCUCGUGUUGUGAAAUGUUGGGUUAAGUCCCGCAACGAGCGCAACCCUUAUCCUUUGUUGCCAGCGGUUAGGCCGGGAACUCAAAGGAGACUGCCAGUGAUAAACUGGAGGAAGGUGGGGAUGACGUCAAGUCAUCAUGGCCCUUACGACCAGGGCUACACACGUGCUACAAUGGCAUAUACAAAGAGAAGCGACCUCGCGAGAGCAAGCGGACCUCAUAAAGUAUGUCGUAGUCCGGAUUGGAGUCUGCAACUCGACUCCAUGAAGUCGGAAUCGCUAGUAAUCGUAGAUCAGAAUGCUACGGUGAAUACGUUCCCGGGCCUUGUACACACCGCCCGUCACACCAUGGGAGUGGGUUGCAAAAGAAGUAGGUAGCUUAACCUUCGGGAGGGCGCUUACCACUUUGUGAUUCAUGACUGGGGUGA
rnacentral:rRNA from 1 species